GACGAACGCUGGCGGCGUGCUUAACACAUGCAAGUCGAACGGCAAGGCCCUGCUUUUGUGGGGUGCUCGAGUGGCGAACGGGUGCGUAACACGUGAGUAACCUGCCCUUGACUUUGGGAUAACUUCAGGAAACUGGGGCUAAUACCGGAUCGGAGCUCCUGCUGCAUGGUGGGGGUUGGAAAGUUUCGGCGGUUGGGGAUGGACUAGCGGCUUAUCAGCUUGUUGGUGGGGUAGUGGCUUACCAAGGCUUUGACGGGUAGCCGGCCUGAGAGGGUGACCGGCCACAAUGGGACUGAGAGACGGCCCAGACUCCUACGGGAGACAGCAGUGGGGAAUAUUGCACAAUGGGCGGGAGCCUGAUGCAGCAGCGCCGCGUUCGGGAUGACGGCCUGCGGGUUGUAAACCGCUUUCGCCUGUGACGAAGCGUGAGUGACGGUAAUGGAUAAAGAAGCACCGGCUAACUACGUG
rnacentral:rRNA from 1 species